GCCUAACUGGCUAAGUUGGAAGAGCGUGUGACUCUUGAUCUCAAGGUUGUGAGUUUGAGCCACACGUUGAGUG
rnacentral:tRNA from 1 species